rnacentral:rRNA from 1 species
GACGAACGCUGGCGGCGUGCCUAAUACAUGCAAGUUGAGCGAUGAAGCUUGGUGCUUGCACCAAUUUGAAGAGCAGCGAACGGGUGAGUAACGCGUGGGGAAUCUGCCUUUGAGCGGGGGACAACAUUUGGAAACGAAUGCUAAUACCGCAUAACAACUUUAAACAUAAGUUUUAAGUUUGAAAGAUGCAAUUGCAUCACUCAAAGAUGAUCCCGCGUUGUAUUAGCUAGUUGGUGAGGUAAAGGCUCACCAAGGCGAUGAUACAUAGCCGACCUGAGAGGGUGAUCGGCCACAUUGGGACUGAGACACGGCCCAAACUCCUACGGGAGGCAGCAGUAGGGAAUCUUCGGCAAUGGACGAAAGUCUGACCGAGCAACGCCGCGGGAGGGAAGAAGGGUUUCGGAUCGUAAAACUCUGUUGGUAGAGAAGAACGUUGGUGAGAGUGGAAAGCUCAUCAAGUGACGGUAACUACCCAGAAAGGGACGGCUAACUACGUG